UACGUAGGGUGCAAGCGUUGUCCGGAAUUAUUGGGCGUAAAGAGCUCGUAGGCGGUCUGUUACGUCGGCUGUGAAAACCCGAGGCUCAACCUCGGGCCUGCAGUCGAUACGGGCAAACUAGAGUACUGCAGGGGAGACUGGAAUUCCUGGUGUAGCGGUGAAAUGCGCAGAUAUCAAGUGGAACACCAGUGGCGAAGGCGAAUCCCUGGAAAAUACCUGACACUGAGGCACGAAAGCUAGGGGAGCAAACAGG
rnacentral:rRNA from 1 species